rnacentral:rRNA from 1 species
GACAGAGGAUGCAAGCGUUAUCCAGAAUGAUUGGGCGUAAAGCGUCUGUAGGUGGCUUUUCAAGUCCGCCGUCAAAUCCCAGGGCUCAACCCUGGACAGGCGAUGGAAACUACCAAACUGGAGUACGAUAGGGGCAGAGGGAAUUUCUGGUGGAGCGGUGAAAUGCAUUGAGAUCGGAAAGAACACCAAUGACGAAAGCACUCUGCUGGGCCGACACUGACACUGAGAGAUGAAAGCUAGGGGAGCAAAUGGG